rnacentral:lncRNA from 1 species
AGAUCGAAGUCUUGAGGGAAGGGCGUGAAAUACUACAAGUGUCAUCAGACUAGUCAUAUUAGGAGGAAUUGCCCACUUCUAAAGAAUGAGAAGGGGAAGGGCACUUCUAAAGGUGGUUCAACUAGUGGGAGUCAUGCUCUCUCAUCUGAAGAUAGUGGAGAUAAUAUAUUGGUUGUGUCAGAUGGGGUUGCAGAGUUGGAUAGCCACUGGACACUAAAUUCAGCACAUUUCCACCAUUACACAGC